GCGAGGAGUAGCCCGAGGGGGACGUGGAGCCCAGAGAACCGGCUGGCGUCGGCUGCUGGGAUGAGAUGCGCUGAUACCUGACUGGCGGCGGCGGGGACGAGGUGGGCGGCUGAUAACUGACUGGCGUCGGCGGUGGCGGGGACGAGGUGGGCGGCUGAUAACUGACUGGCGUCGGCGGUGGCGGGGACGAGGAGGGCACAUAUUUGGCUGGCGAAAGCGGCGAUGGCGGUGGGGACGAGGAAGGCUGAUAACUAGCUGGCGUCGGCGACGGCCGGGAGGACGAACCGUAAUUUACGACGAAGGCCGGCGGCGAGGUUGUGGCAUGAUAGAUCGAGUUGGAGGAAUUGCGAGGGACGCAGACAGCCGUCGCGGGGACGAGCACGCACGAAAAGAGGGCGACAAGGAGGAGAUGAUGGGUUUCCGGCCUCAUGGUGACAGUGGCGAGAACGGAGGCCAGAAGGUGGCGGAGGAAGAACCG
rnacentral:lncRNA from 1 species